GAAAUGCCUCCAUGAGAUCCAGCUGUAAGGCAUCUUCUCAGUUAGUGAUCAAUGGGGGAAGGCCCAGCUGUUGUUGGGUGGUACUAUCCCUGGGCUGGUGGUCCUG
ensembl:miRNA